rnacentral:lncRNA from 1 species
UGCAGCUUUGCGGUUUCUGUUCGGUUCUCAGUUCGGGGAGGCUUAAUCCAGGACCGGCUGAUCUCUAUCCUGGGCUCCCAGUCCUAUGUGUCCCUGAGAGGAAGAGACUGACAUCAGAUCUGGUAGGACGUGAUACUCUUCAAUCUUGUCACCAUAACUUUCUCCUGGAGCCAUGGAAGCACACAGUCUUACUGGUGGAAUCCUCUAUUCUGCAUCUUCAGUCAAGUAAUUUGAUCUGUGUUCUGCAUGCAGGAGCUCCCUGGCUCAGCACUUAUGUCUUCUUUUCAGUUUCUG